GAAAGCCGGAUGCGGGAAAUCUGCACGUCCGGUUUGACGAGGGGGAGGGCUGCCGGGCUUCCGGCACCCUCUCUACUCUAC
rfam:Leptonema illini DSM 21528 genomic scaffold Lepilscaffold_1, whole genome shotgun sequence.